rnacentral:rRNA from 1 species
CGGGUGCAGCAGGCGCGAAAACUUUACACUGCUGGCAACAGCGAUAAGGGGACCUCGAGUGCCAGGAUACAAUCUUGGCUGUCGCGAUGCCUAAAAAGCAUUGCAUAGCAAGGGCCGGGCAAGACCGGUGCCAGCCGCCGCGGUAACACCGGCGGCUCGAGUGGUAACCGCUAUUAUUGGGUCUAAAGGGUCUGUAGCCGGCCGGAUAAGUCUUUUGGGAAAUCCAGCUGCUCAACAGUUGGGCUUUCAGAAGAUACUGUUCGGCUCGAGACCGGGAGAGGUGAGAGGUACUUCAGGGGUAGGGGUGAAAUCUUGUAAUCCUUGAAGGACCACCAGUGGCGAAGGCGUCUCACCAGAACGGAUCUGACGGCAAGGGACGAAAGCUAGGGGCACGAACCGGAUUAGAUACCCGGGUAGUCCUAGCCGUAAACGAUACUCGCUAGGUGUCAGCCACGGUGCGACCGUGGUUGGUGCCGUAGGGAAGCCGUGAAGCGAGCCACCUGGGAAGUACGGCCGCAAGGCUGAAACUUAAAGGAAUUGGCGGGGGAGCAC